rnacentral:rRNA from 1 species
UUCCCUUAGUAAUGGCGAAUGAACAGGGAUAAGCUCAGCAUGGAAAUUGGGGCCUCUGGCCUUGAAUUGUAGUCUUGAGAUGUGCUACCAACGGAGGCGCAGAUGUAAGCCUCUUGGAAAAGAGCGUCAGGGAGGGUGAGAGUCCCGUAUGUCAUCUGCAGUUCUCUGUGCACGGUACAUUUUCUAAGAGUCACGUUCCUCGGGAUUGGAGCGCAAAUUGGGUGGUAAAUUUCAUCUAAAGCUAAAUAUUGGUUCGAGACCGAUAGCAAACAAGUACCAUGAGGGAAAGGUGAAAAGGACUUUGAAAAGAGAGUUAAAAGUGCCUGAAAUUGCUGAAAGGGAAGCGAAUGGAACCAGUUGUUCUUGGCGAGUAUUGGUGUUGUCUAAAGUGAGGGCUUGCCACUUCAGCGCAAGUGUGGUGGCAGGUUUUGAUCUGGAUGCGAUACUGCAUCUCGCCUUGCAUGUCAACGUCAGUUCAUAAUUGAGGAAAACUCUAAGGACUUGGUAAUUUGCUUCCGGGUGACUGAAUGUCCCUAGUGGAACUCAUUUUUGAACUGCUUUUUGUAUGUCUUGUUGCAGUGCUCUGUGUGCUUGCCUGUGAUCCGGUGCUUGCUCUGUUUGGCAUGGGGUUGCUGGUGCCUGGAGCAUGUCCUUGACAUAAGUACGAUGACAAAAU